CCUACGGGUGGCAGCAGUGGGGAAUAUUGGGCAAUGGACGCAACUCUGACCCAGCAACGCCGCGUGAAUGAAGCAGGCUUUCGGGUUGUAAACUUCUUUUAAGGGGGAAGAGCAGAAGUCGGUACCUCUUCAAUAAGCCACGGCUAAAUACGUGCCAGCAGCCCCGGUAAUACGUAGGUGGCACGCGUUGUCCGGAUUUGCUGGGGGGAAAGGGCGGGCAGCCGGGAAGACAAGUCAGAUGUGAAAGCCCGCGGCUCAACCGCGGAACUGCAUGUGAAACUGGUUGUCUUGAGUAUCGGAGAGGUAAUCGGAAUUCCUAGUGUAGCGGUGAAAUGCGUAGAUAUGAGGAAGAACACCAGUGGCGAAGGCGGAUUACUGGACGACAACUGACGGUGAGGCGCGAAAGCGUGGGGAGCAAACAGGAUUAGAUACCCGGGUAGUC
rnacentral:rRNA from 1 species